UGCUCCAAGCCGCGUCCAGUCUGGCCUGGAAAGCUUCCAGGGAUGGGGCAGCCACGGAUUCCCUGGGCCACUGGUGUCCAAACCAUGGAAUUCAGGAAGGCACUGAAGCUUGGGGAGCAGGUGCAGUCACAGCUGAGGGAUUUGUGGCUAACAGUGGGAAAACAGCAAGAGCUGGAGAGAUGGCAGCUGUGGGGGUGAGAUGGCCCCACUGGGAACCCUUGGUGUGGGGAGAAAGGUGAAUCCAUGGCACAGAUGGGUGCAGGGGGUUGUGGAGGUGUCCUGUUAGUCCUGAGUCCUGAGGGACACAGUGCUUGAGGUGUCACAGGCAUUGAGCAGGGGAGAAUAAUGCAGCUUUGCCCAGAAAUGCUGGCAAAAGAGCCAGGAAAAGGGCUGCACUGUUGGGCUCUGCUUCCCACUGUGGAAUUACUUCAAUCUGACAUGCAAAACAUCCAUGUUUCUGAGGGGGGAAUCCAUGUUUCUGAGGUGAGAAUCCAUGUUUCUGAGGUGGGAAUCCAUGUUUCUGAGGGGGGAAUCCACGUUUCUGAAGGGGGAAUCCAUGUUCCUGAGGUGGGAAUCCAUGUUUCUGUGGGGAAUCAUCCUUCCUGCAAGGAGCAGUGACUGUUGCCAGAGGAGAAGUGAGCAGAAAUGUCAGGGCACACCCCACAUGUGCUGAGAUUCCCUCUGAGCCCUUGGAGAAUGGGAGGGAGGGGAGGAUGAGGAGAGGCAGGAGCAGGAUUUGGUUCCCUGUGGAGGUGGAAAGGCCUGUCAGAUGGUGGGAAAAUGUCCUGUGGGAGUGUCAGUGGGAUUGCAAGGCAGGGAGGACUUUCAGGAGCCCCUCCUGAGGUGAGCUCUCUCUUGAGAGCAUUAAAUCACCAGAUGUGACGGUCAGCUCUGGACAACCCCUGCUCAGCAGAGCCCAGGUGCUCUCCUGAGCCUGUGACACCCACUGGGUCACCUGGACAAGGACAGGUGGGACACCCUACUUCCAAAAUGCUGCUCUAAUGCUCAGUCUUCCAGCCAGCAGCUGUGUGUGGUACCUCAGUCAUCCGUCCUGUGGGUGCAUGGGGAGCAGGCUGGGGAGACAUUUUUGGGGGUGGGGGUGUCUUCAUCCCCCCCAGCCAGGGCUCCACAGUGCAUCUCUCCCUUUGUGGUCCUGAAACAUCAGCCAGGAGGGUUUUGCCUUGCUAAAAGCAGCCCCACACCUUUAACAGGCACUGACUGGCAAUACACCAUGAAAUCCAAAAUCCAGGCCUCUUUCUCACUGGGCCACUCCAAGUUAAGAUGAAGUUUUCCCUCCAGACUGAUGUCUCCCUAUUUCCUGCUGGUUCCUAAGUCUGUUGGAGCUUGGAGGUUCUUGGGAGGUGUUACCAGUCCAGCUGAUCAUUCCUUCACUAUUGGGGAUUGGGAAAUAUUGUCCCUUGGGCUCUUUGGUGAUUUAUUCCCUGUAAGGCAUGGUGGGGAUUGCAAGGUGGAUAUCUGAUGAAAUAUCUGAUAAAACACAGAGCUGCUGGGUCAGUCAGGAGGAGGAGGAGGAGGAGGGAUGGCUGAGGAAGGCUGCUGGUUUAGGUAGCCCAGCUCUGGCAGCUCAGGAGGAUCCUUGUGGAUGGGCUGUCAGUUUGAUGGAUUGGGAAGGGCAGUGAGGAGGUGCUGUGGCCUUUUGUUGUGCUAAUAAAUCCCCAGUUUGGGAAACACUGCCUUUCUGCAGGGGCAAUCAGUUUCCCUGUCUCUCCUCUCCCUCUCCAGCAUAAUGAACUUGAGGAAUUAAAGGCAGCACUGCCAGUCAGAAUGAUGGAAAUGGGGUUUUGCUGCAUCUCUGGGGGGCCCUGGUGUCCUCAGAAGCAGAGAGGACAUGGCAGGGGCAGCUUGGAUGCUGCAAGUCCACAAGGAAGGGAGGCCCAGCUGCAUGCGCAGCUCAGUGUGGGCUCUCUGCUCCCUGCUGGAGACAGGCUUAGGAGUUAGGUGGAUUUCCUAAAGGUUUUUCUUGUGAUCUGUCUGCACUGCUAGGCCUGACUCUGGCUCUGAAGUUCUUCACCCAAGGAUGGGUGAGCCUGAGCUUCCUGAGCUUCCUGAGCUGCCCAGCUGUGCAGAGAUGGCAGCUGCUGGCCAUUUGGAGGGGAGCUUUCUGUGGAAUAGUUGGUUUUGGUCAGCCGUGGAGGGUCCCCAUGUCUUCAUCUUGAAGUGGAAGCAAGGAGGGCAGUCAGAGCCAGCCCUGGCUCAAGGGAAGCUUGUGGGAGUGCUGGAAGCUCAGACAGAGUUUCCUGCAGUGUCUGCAGGUCCUUGAAGCACCAGCACCACUCAGCCCCUUCCCUUCCCAUCCAAGGCCAAUAGACUUGGGAUUGGGCUCUUAAAAAUAUCCUCUGCACAGCUCCUGGAGCUGGAUUCAUUCCCUUGGAAUGACCAGGUGGCAGCAGGGAGGAGAUGGAGCUCAGGUGGGAGCUGGAGCUCCAGUGGCCUGACACUGCUGAUUGAGUAUUCACCUCUGCCUUGCCAAACCAGCAGCUUCUUUUGGAAGAGGCAGGGCAUGGAAAGCAGCCAAGAAGGGCCCUCCUCAUCCUCAGUGCUGGGUGAACUGCGAGCCCCUGAGUGCUGAGGGUGGUGGCAUUGGCACAGCAAUGUCCCUGCAGCAAUAACAACCCCUGGACUCCACACAGGACCAGCCCCUCACCUCCCUUUUGCAUCCUCCUGAUAGCACAAGGCAGAAUUUCCUUGCAGGCACCACACAACAGCUUUGGCAUCUCCAGCCCCACUUCUGACAGGAGGCAGCUCUUGCCCCCUUGGAAUGCACAUCCACCACACAGCUGCUGAUCCCUUGAGGUGUCUCUGAGGCCAGCUGUUCACCCAGGUGAGGCUUCUCUGGACUGCUCUGCUUCCACAGAGAGCUGUGAGCAGUCCUCGUGCUUCCCUGUGGUUUUCUCUCGUGGACAGGAGCAGCUCCUCAUCCUGUAACUAUGGAAUGUAGCACUUUGUUAAAGGAAAACAUUGGGAAAUAAAAAGCUGUCCAUCAGAGCUGACUCUGAGUGCCUGUCUCCCUGAUCUGUGGUUCAUUCAGUGUCCCAGGUGAAGCUGUCAAGUGAUGCUUGGAGGAACUGAGUGCUGUGUUUCUUUCUCCAGGCUGCAUAGUCAGUGCAAGGACUCAGGCUGGGCUUGCAGGGGUCACAGGAGCCAUGGGGAACCUCAGGCUGGCAGUUUUUGGGUACCAUUCACCUGGAAUUAGGGGUUUGCUAUAGGCUGUGAUGACCCCAAAGUCCCUUGGUGUCUUGGUUUGAAAAGCCAGGUGUGUGCUAAGGAAAGCAGGAGCCUCCCCUGAAAUGGAAAUGUAAAUGCCCUCCCUCUGAAUUGUUAUAAUUUUGAAAUUAAGGGGCUCUCAGGCAAAGAUAUGGAAGCAGGAAUAACAGUUCUUGUGGUAUUUGCAGGGGUCCCCGGGAUGAGGUGAGAGAUGAGGAAUUGAGAAUCUGACUCCAUGUCCUCAGAAGGCUGAUUUAUUGUUAUAUUAUAUGAUAUUAUAGAAUGCUAUACUAAAACUAUACUAAAGAAAGAGAAAAGAUACAGAGAGAAGGCUUGACAAGAAUGAGAAUGAAAAACUCGUGACUGACUCCUCAGAGUCCCACACAGCUGAUGGUGAUUGGUCAUUAAGUAAAAACAAUUCACAUGGAACCAAUCAAACAAUGACCAGUUGGUAAACAAUGUCCAGACCACAUUCCAAGGCACCAAACACAGGAGAAGCAAUCAGAUAAUUAUUGUUUUUAUUCUUUUCUGAGGCUUCUCAGCUUCCCAGGAGAGAAAUCCUGGUGAAGGGAUUUUUCAGAAAAUAUGACGGUGUAUUAGGGAAGAAAAUAAAAUAAAAAUGCAGUGUAAUACAAACCAACAAACCAACACUGCCAGAGUGUAAUACAAACCAACAC
rnacentral:lncRNA from 1 species